GCUAGUAAUCGCGGAUCAGCAUGCCGCGGUGAAUACGUUCCCGGGCCUUGUACACACCGCCCGUCACACCAUGGGAGUCGGUAACACCCGAAGCCAAUAGUCUAACCGUAAGGAGGACGUUGUCGAAGGUGGGAUUGAUGACUGGGGUGAAGUCGUAACAAGGUACC
rnacentral:rRNA from 1 species